UACAGAGGUCUCAAGCGUUGUUCGGAUUCAUUGGGCGUAAAGGGUGCGUAGGUGGCGUCGUAAGUCAGGUGUGGAAAUUUCGGAGCUUAACUCCGAAACUGCAUUUGAUACUGCGGUGCUUGAGGACUGGAGAGGAGACUGGAAUUUACGGUGUAGCAGUGAAGUGCGUAGAGAUCGUAAGGAAGACCAGUGGCGAAGGCGGGUCUCUGGACAGUUC
rnacentral:rRNA from 1 species